rnacentral:rRNA from 1 species
UACGUAGGGGGCGAGCGUUGUCCGGAGUUACUGGGCGUAAAGGGCAUGCAGGCGGUCGGACGCGUUUUGUGUGACAGCGGAUGGCUUACCUAUCCGAGCAUACGAAAGACGGUUGGACUUGAGGACUCGAGAGGGACACGGAAUUCCGGGUGGAGUGGUGAAAUGCGUAGAGAUCUGGAAGAACACCAAAGGCGAAGGCAGCAUCCUGGCAAGCCACUGACGCUGAUGUGCGAAAGCUAGGGGAGCGAACGGG